rnacentral:misc_RNA from 1 species
GCCAGUAACUGAAGUGAGAUUGCUUGCUUUACUUUCUACCUCAUCAGGACAUAAACCAUAAAUUACUUUUCUCCUGUGAAAACAACCUGUUCCACCAUAGCAUGGUCCUUGAAUUCCAUUCAUUCCACGUCCAAAAUAUUUUAUCAAAACCACUAAUUGGUUUCCGAAUGGAUCAUCUUUUAUUCCGUCGUAAAAAAUCUGUGGGCUCUGGACAAAUCCUGCUUCCCUUUCGUUCUUGGAACCUAACAACAAACACAUUGC